rnacentral:rRNA from 1 species
CAGUCGCCGCGGGAAUACGUAGGUGGCAAGCGUUGUCCGGAAUUAUUGGGCGUAAAGGGCUCACAGGCGGUUUCUUAAGUCUGAUGUGAAAGCCCCCGGCUCAACCGGGGGGGGUCAUUGGAAACUGGGAAACUUGAGUGCAGAAGAGGAGAGUGGAAUUCCACGUGUAGCGGUGAAAUGCGUAGAGAUGUGGAGGAACACCAGUGGCGAAGGCGACUCUCUGGUCUGUAACUGACGCUGAGGAGCGAAAGCGUGGGGAGCGAACAGGAUUAGAUACCCCCGUAGUCCCUGUCUCUUAUAC